rnacentral:rRNA from 1 species
GAUGAACGCUAGCUAUAGGCUUAACACAUGCAAGUCGAGGGGCAUCAGGAAGAAAGCUUGCUUUCUUUGCUGGCGACCGGCGCACGGGUGAGUAACACGUAUCCAACCUGCCCUUUACUCGGGGAUAGCUUUUCGAAAGAAAGAUUAAUACCCGAUAGCAUAAUGAUUCCGCAUGGUUUCAUUAUUAAAGGAUUCCGGUAAAGGAUGGGGAUGCGUUCCAUUAGGUUGUUGGUGAGGUAACGGCCCACCAAGCCUUCGAUGGAUAGGGGUUCUGAGAGGAAGGUCCCCCACAUUGGAACUGAGACACGGUCCAAACUCCUACGGGAGGCAGCAGUGAGGAAUAUUGGUCAAUGGGCGCUAGCCUGAACCAGCCAAGUAGCGUGAAGGAUGAAGGCUCUAUGGGUCGUAAACUUCUUUUAUAUAAGAAUAAAGUGCAGUAUGUAUACUGUUUUGUAUGUAUUAUAUGAAUAAGGAUCGGCUAACUCCGUGCCAGCAGCCGCGGUAAUACGGAGGAUCCGAGCGUUAUCCGGAUUUAUUGGGUUUAAAGGGAGUGUAGGUGGACUGGUAAGUCAGUUGUGAAAGUUUGCGGCUCAACCGUAAAAUUGCAGUUGAUACUGUCAGUCUUGAGUACAGUAGAGGUGGGCGGAAUUCGUGGUGUAGCGGUGAAAUGCUUAGAUAUCACGAAGAACUCCGAUUGCGAAGGCAGCUCACUGGACUGCAA